rnacentral:sRNA from 1 species
ACAGUACAGGAUCCUUUCUGGAAUGGAGGUCUUAUGAGCUGCUAUCGAACACGGCAGGUAGCUCAUGGUGCUCCCUUCCUUGGUGCAGACGGGCAGUUCAAACCACACAAACUCCAGCCUGUGGGAGAGGGAUCCUUCAUCCUGGACGCGCCUGCCCUCUGCCCAGCCACUAUAAAAACCAGAGCCACGUGCCCCUUCUUUUGCUUGAGUGUGGGCCCUGCUGUCCCCAGAAAGCCUCAUUACGGCUUUGCUGGAAACCUGCCUGUGAGCUGACAACUAGCAAAGAGUGCUAAGUGUUUGUUAAACAAGGCAAGAUCACAGUGUUCAGCAGACACGAAAGGCCUCCAAUGGGCCCACACUUCCCACUCUGAUAUGUGAUGUGGGUGGGGCACGUGCUCAUUCCUGGAGCCGCCUCCCUGUUG